rnacentral:rRNA from 1 species
AGUGAACGCUGGCGGUAGGCCUAACACAUGCAAGUCGAACGGCAGCACAGUAAGAGCUUGCUCUUACGGGUGGCGAGUGGCGGACGGGUGAGGAAUACAUCGGAAUCUACUUUUUCGUGGGGGAUAACGUAGGGAAACUUACGCUAAUACCGCAUACGACCUACGGGUGAAAGCAGGGGAUCUUCGGACCUUGCGGGAUUGAAUGAGCCGAUGUCGGAUUAGCUAGUUGGCGGGGUAAAGGCCCACCAAGGCGACGAUCCGUAGCUGGUCUGAGAGGAUGAUCAGCCACACUGGAACUGAGACACGGUCCAUACGCCUACGGGACGCAGCAGUGGGGAAUAUUAGACAAUGGGCGCAAGCCUGGUCCAGCCAUCCCGCGUGUGUGAAGAAGGCCUUCGGGUUGUAAAGCCCUUUUGUUGGGAAAGAAAAGCAGCAGGUUAAUACCCCGCUGUUCUGACGGUACCCAAAGAAUAAGCACCGGCUAACUUCGUG